rnacentral:rRNA from 1 species
UACGUAGGGUGCAAGCGUUAAUCGGAAUUACUGGGCGUAAAGCGUGCGCAGGCGGUUAUGUAAGACAGUUGUGAAAUCCCCGGGCUCAACCCUGGGAACUGCAUCUGUGACUGCAUAGCUAGAGUACGGUAGAGGGGGAUGGAAUUCCGCGUGUAGCAGUGAAAUGCGUAGAUAUGCGGAGGAACACCGAUGGCGAAGGCAAUCCCCUGGACCUGUACUGACGCUCAUGC